GGUCACUGCUAUUGGGAUUCGAUUAAGCCAUGCGAGUCGAGAGGGUUCGGCCCUCGGCUGACGGCUCAGUAACACGUGGAUAAUCUGCCCUUAGGUGGAGGAUAAUCUCGGGAAACUGAGGACAAUACUCCAUAGGUUUAGGAGGCUGGAAUGCAUCUAGACUGAAAGCUCCGGCGCCUAAGGAUGAGUCUGCGGACUAUCAGGUAGUAGUCAGGGUAAAGACCUGACUAGCCUACGACGGAUACGGGUUGUGAGAGCAAUAACCCGGAGACGAUAUCUGAGACACGAUAUCGGGCCCUACGGGGCGCAGCAGGCGCGAAAACUUCACACUGUGCGAAAGCACGAUGAGGGAAUCCCAAGUGCUUGCUCGUAAGAGUAAGCUGUUUUUCUGUCUAAAACGCAGAGAGAGUAAGAGCUGGGUAAGACGGGUGCCAGCCGCCGCGGUAAUACCUGCAGCUCAAGUGGUGGCCGCUAUUAUUGGGCCUAAAACGUCCGUAGCCGGUUUAGUAAAUGCCUGGGUAAAUCGUGUAGCUUAACUAUACGAAUUCCGGGUAGACUGCUAAACUUGAGACCGGGAGAAGCCAGAGGUACUCCUAGGGUAGAGGUGAAAUUCUGUAAUCCUAGGGGGACCACCAGUGGCGGAGGCGUCUAGCUAGAACGGGUCUGACGGUGAGGGACGAAACCCUGGGGCGCAAACCGGAUUAGAUACCCGGGUAGUCCAGGGCGUAAACGCUGCUUGCUUGAUGUUAGUUGGGCUCCGAGCCCAAUUAGUGUCGGAGAGAAGUUGUUAAGCAAGCUGCCUGGGAAGUACGGUCGCAAGGCUGAAACUUAAAGGAAUUGGCGGGGGAGCACAGCAACGGGUGGAGCGUGCGGUUU
rnacentral:rRNA from 1 species